rnacentral:rRNA from 1 species
GGACGGGUGAGUAACGCGUGAGGAACCUGCCUUUCAGUGGGGGACAACAGUUGGAAACGACUGCUAAUACCGCAUAAUGUAUUCUGACCGCAUGAUCGGAAUACCAAAGAUUUAUUGCUGAAAGAUGGCCUCGCGUCUGAUUAGAUAGUUGGUGAGGUAACGGCUCACCAAGUCGACGAUCAGUAGCCGGACUGAGAGGUUGAACGGCCACAUUGGGACUGAGAUACGGCCCAGACUCCUACGGGAGGCAGCAGUGGGGAAUAUUGGGCAAUGGGGGAAACCCUGACCCAGCAACGCCGCGUGAAGGAAGAAGGCUUUCGGGUUGUAAACUUCUUUUACCAGGGACGAAGGACGUGACGGUACCUGGAGAAAAAGCCACGGCUAACUACGUGCC